rnacentral:rRNA from 1 species
GUAACGAGCGCAACCCUUGUCCUUAGUUACCAGCACGUUAUGGUGGGCACUCUAAGGAGACUGCCGGUGACAAACCGGAGGAAGGUGGGGAUGACGUCAAGUCAUCAUGGCCCUUACGGCCUGGGCUACACACGUGCUACAAUGGUCGGUACAAAGGGUUGCCAAGCCGCGAGGUGGAGCUAAUCCCAUAAAACCGAUCGUAGUCCGGAUCGCAGUCUGCAACUCGACUUCAUGAAGCUGGAAUCGCUAGUAAUCGUGGAUCAGCCAAGCCGCGGUGAAUACGUUCCCGGGCCUU